GAGGGUAUAGCUCAGGGGUAGAGUGAGUGCUUAGCAUGCACAAGGUCCUGGGUUCAAUACCCAGUACCUCCA
rnacentral:tRNA from 1 species